rnacentral:lncRNA from 1 species
UACGGCAAAAGUGAAAGGAUUUUGCAGACGUAAUUAUGGUGCCUAAUCAGUUGACUUUGAGUUAAUCAAAAGGGAGCUUAUGCUAGGUAGGCUUGACCUGAUCAGGAAAGCCCUUUAAAAGAGGGACGAGGCCUUCUCUGAAGAGAGACUGGAGGCAUCAGAGACUCUCUUUCUCCAGUACGAGCUUUGAAGAAGCGAACUUCUAUAUUCUACAGCUGCAAGGAAAUGAAUUUUGCCAGCACCCUGAGGGAGCUUAGAAACAGAUCCUUCCUGCGUCAAGCCUUUAGGUGAAAUGGUGCCCCCCUCACAACUUCUCACUCAUCUCACGUGUACCGAAUACCCUCUGUGAGUCAGAUACUCUGCUGGUCAUCCAGGACAUCAAGAUGUGAGGACAUGGCUCCUGUGCUCAUGGAACUCGUAACUACUCAUUCUAGUUUGCGUGAAAGGACAGACAAGAUUGAUCUUCCAUCAGUGGAAUAGUCCAAGUUUAAUUGGUGAACCAUACCCCAGUAAUCCCGCUCCCCACCCUCCAUAGAGACCCUUCCACGAUAGGGUGACAAUUUAUAAAUUACCCGAGUUCAUCACGCUAGAAUAAGAGAUGCCUGAUGGUCUAUGGAUGCAUUCGAGGUAGUUCCUGCUCAAGGAGCUCCCCAAAGUCCUGGCACGCUAGAUAUUGCAGGGGUCCCAGAAACCAAGAGAGACCACCUGCAUAACUAUUGGAAGUUUCUGCUGUUUCUACUGUGUUAUCUAAAGCCUUGAAAAAACAUACCCUACAGUCAAAUCCUGGUUUCUUCAGCUGCCGUCUUUAUCACGUUGCUACGUUAUAUAUCCCUUCCUGAACCUCAACAUCCUUAUCUGUAAAAUGAAGAUAAUAGUGUCUUUUAUUGGUUUGUUUAUGUAUCCAUUCAUCCAGAAAACAUUUUUUUAAAUCCCUACCUCAUCCCAGGUAUUGAGCUAGGCACUAGAUAACCAGUGUUCAACAAGAUAGACACUGUUCCUGCCCUCGUGAACCUUACAGCCUGGGGAGGGAAAGAGGCAAUAAA